UCAAUCUACAACUAUUUAAAUGACACUUUUGCACGAAAAUUAGUUUGUGUCCACAAUUGAUUUGCAACUGUUUGUAAUUGGUUGACUCAAUUAUUAAUUAACUAACAAUGGACAUGAGCACGUACUGGAGGGGUAGAAAAAUUGAAUUGUUAACAUUUUGGGGGGGAAGAACUGAUUCUUACGUCACAAUAUGACUUGGUUAACCAUAUGGAUGGAGCAGCUAGGCAAAGUUUUAUUUUAUACUUUUUUUUUUUCUAACUUUUUUGUAAUUAAAGUAUAACCGUUCAAUGGGAUAGAUAUUAUUGAUUGGUUAAAUUUAACUCUUCAUUUGGAAUUAAUAGGUGUGGGUUUUAAUUUGGUGAUGAGCCACUUAAACUCCUUAGACAGGCAGCCCAAUAUUGUUUUUCUCACAAUUUAUAUUUUGACCAUCAGAUCCAGUUAAUUAAAAAAGAUUUGACGUAAUAGACGGCAGACGGAAGGGAGGCUUCUCCAGAUGAUGUUUUAGAUAAAGUAACAGCAGGUGUACGCCGACUCCUGCUAAGUAACUAAUGCAAAGAUUUAAAGCGCAAUUAUGCGUUUUUUCUCCAGUACAUUGCCACGAUUGUCAGUUAUGUAGCUGUCCUACUGAUCUCAGUGCGUCCUUGCUGGGAUGACACAAUCAAUCUACUGGCGGAGAAUACCAACACCAAACACAUUGGCUCACCGUUCCACGGGAGCGGACAGUAAGAACACAGCAUACCGUAAUAUUCUGAAUAGUGGCCAAGUAUACCUCGCUCCCCAUUCCACUGAACCAUUUUGGAGUAACAAACAAGUCCCAACAUUUACUGGAAACUGUUAAACUACCUGUUCACUACCCUCCGGCUCUCCUCCGGGGAUGUGCAACUCAACCCUGGGCGUAACUUCACCGAGCCAGCGAUACUCACUGGAGUGGAACGCAGUGGAUGGGAUCCACUGAUCGUCGCCGCUGCGGAAGUGGCCUAUGAAAUACGGUGCAACUGUUUUGGUUCUUGCUAGCAGCAUACCACCCUGCAUCCCACUGCUGGCUUGCUUCUGAAGCUUAGCAGGGUUGGUCCUGGAAUGGAGACCAGAUGCUGCUGGAAGUGGUGUUGGACGGUCUCCAGACCAGAGCUGCAUCAACACACCGAACAAAGAAACCAACCCCAGACCCACUACAGACAUGAUCAUCAGACUGGGCAGACUGACACCUGGAUACUUCCGCCUCCUACAGAGACAGGUGGCGGGUGAGGUGCAGACCCAGCCACAGGACCGUGUGGUCAACCAGAUAGCCAUGAUGCUCGCCAUCAUGGGCCUAAGCCUGUCCUACUACAGUGCCAAACGGAUGACCGAGAAGGUCCAGAGGCUCCAGAAGAGGAGAGAUCCCCAUACCCCCUGAAGACACCCCUCCCCCCAUGCGCCAGUCUGCUUUGAACCUGGAGAGAAGACGAACCAACGCGGAGAUGUUGUGGAGAGGAGACAUGGAGAUGUCGGUGUCCAGAACAACACCUUUUCACAACCAAUCAUUCAUAGUCACGUCGUUCACACACUGGCGUUUUACUGGGAUCACUCCCAAUGCGAGGAGAGUUUGGGGGCUGCUGCUUUUAAGGGUAUCUUGUUAAUUUUUCACACCAAUUUGUGUGUGUGUGUGUGUGUGUGUGUGUGUGUGAAGAAAGGCCCACGGUGGGGUUCGUGUGGUCCUGAUAGGAGGGGGGUACUACCAGCUGUCUAUGGUAAGGCUGGGCCUGAGCUUUAGUUGUUGCCAAGGUACAUGCGUGCAAGAUGCCAUCAAUACUGUUCUGCGCUAAAAAGGGAUAGAAAAAUGCCAAACUAAUUAUUCUAAUGUACUGUGAAACGUGCCAGUUCUCCAAGCAUAUGACUGCGUGUAAAAUACCUGAACAGUAAUUAUUUUUUAAGGGAAGGCUAUCUGCAUUUGAGAUGUAUCUGGUAAUGACUGAAGGCGGGCCCAUAGUGUGAGGAGAAAGUAACCCUCGUAGGUUUUUGUCAUUUCUUAUUGUUAAAUAAAAGUGAGCCAUGUGAAGUAGGUGUG